rnacentral:rRNA from 1 species
UACGUAGGGUGCAAGCGUUAAUCGGAAUUACUGGGCGUAAAGCGUGCGCAGGCGGUUGUGCAAGACCGAUGUGAAAUCCCCGGGCUUAACCUGGGAAUGGCAUUGGUGACUGCACGGCUAGAGUGUGUCAGAGGGGGGGUAGAAUUCCACGUGUAGCAGUGAAAUGCGUAGAGAUGUGGAGGAAUACCGAUGGCGAAGGCAAUCCCCUGGGCCUGCACUGACGCUCAUGCACGAAAGCGUGGGGAGCAAACAGG